rnacentral:lncRNA from 1 species
UUUUUCGCCUCAGGCGAAAUAGCAAACAGAGAGGUACUUUUCAACUGGAACUUUUCGNCUCAGGCACACGAUUUUUCGCCUGGGGCGAAAAAAAGCAGAAUAUUAGCUAUUUUUCUUCAUUCUUCAGCUACUUUCAUCCUUUGCAAAUAUCUUCAAACUAGUGCAUUAUUCUUCCAUGAAAUGAGUUACAAUUCUUCUAAAAAACACUUGAAAUUGGUCUUAUUUUCAUGUAAUGACGCAUGUCAUCAC